rnacentral:rRNA from 1 species
UGCAGUCGAACGAGGGCCCAGAGCUUGCUCUGGAGACCCGAGUGGCGGACGGGUGAGUAACACGUGACCAACCUAUCCCAUGGGUGGGGGACAACCUGGGGAAGCCCGGGCUAAUACCGCAUGAUUGUCUCUUUGUCGCAUGGCAGAGAGAUCAAAGAGGGCCUCUGCUUGCAAGCUCUCGCCAAGGGAGGGGGUCGCGACGUAUCAGCUUGUUGGUGGGGUAACGGCCUACCAAGGCUACGACGCGUAGCGGGUCUGAGAGGACGACCCGUCACAUUGGGACUGAGAUACGGCCCAGACUCCUACGGGAGGCAGCAGUAAGGAAUAUUGCGCAAUGGGCGAAAGCCUGACGCAGCGACGCCGCGUGUGGGAGGAAGCCUUUCGGGGUGUAAACCACUGUCAGAGGGGAAGAACUCCGCCGAUUCGAAUAGGGUCGGCGACUGACGGUACCCUCACAGGAAGCGCCGGCUAACUCCGUGCCAGCAGCCGCGGUAAGACGGANGGCGCAAGCGUUGUUCGGAAUUACUGGGCGUAAAGCGCGGGCAGGCGGUCCGUUAAGUCGUUUGUGAAAACCCGGGGCUCAACCCCGCGGANUGCAUACGAUACUGGCGGACUGGAGACCGGUAGAGGCUAGCGGAAUUCCUGGUGUAGCGGUGGAAUGCGUAGAUAUCNNNAAGANNNNNNGUGGCGAANNNGGCUAGCUGGGCCGGGUCUGACGCUCAUCCGCGAAAGCGUGGGGAGCAAACANNAUUAGAUACCCUGGUAGUCCACGCCGUANACNAUGGGCACUAGNUGCCGGGUCUCUAGA